rnacentral:snRNA from 9 species
ACACUUAUCUGGCGCAGGGAUACGGUAAUCAUACAGGCGGUCCCCCAGGGUGAGGCGGCUCCAUUGCACUGUGGAGUAGUUGACCCUUGCGAUUAUUCCAAUUUUUUAUGAGUUUCACUUCUACCGUGUGUGACUUGCCAUGUCACACA